rnacentral:misc_RNA from 1 species
GGUUAUGGGGUCCAUACAAA